UACGUAGGUGCCGAGCGUUGUCCGGAAUUAUUGGGCGUAAAGAGCUCGUAGGCGGUUUGUCACGUCUGCUGUGAAAUCCCGAGGCUCAACCUCGGGCCUGCAGUGGGUACGGGCAGACUGGAGUGCGGUAGGGGAGAAUGGAAUUCCUGGUGUAGCGGUGGAAUGCGCAGAUAUCAGGAGGAACACCGAUGGCGAAGGCAGUUCUCUGGGCCGUAACUGACGCUGAGGAGCGAAAGCGUGGGGGAGCGAACAGG
rnacentral:rRNA from 1 species